UACGUAGGGUGCAAGCGUUGUCCGGAAUUAUUGGGCGUAAAGAGCUCGUAGGCGGCCUGUCGCGUCUGCUGUGAAAACUCGGGGCUUAACCCCGGGCCUGCAGUGGGUACGGGCAGACUAGAGUGCGGUAGGGGAGACUGGAAUUCCUGGUGUAGCGGUGAAAUGCGCAGAUAUCAGGAGGAACACCGGUGGCGAAGGCGGGUCUCUGGGCCGAUACUGACGCUGAGGAGCGAAAGCGUGGGGAGCGAACAGG
rnacentral:rRNA from 1 species